GAUGAACGCUGGCGGCGUGCCUAAUACAUGCAAGUCGAGCGAACGGACGAGAAGCUUGCUUUUCUGAUGUUAGCGGCGGACGGGUGAGUAACACGUGGAUAACCUACCUAUAAGACUGGGAUAACUUCGGGAAACCGGAGCUAAUAUCGGAUAAUAUUUUGAACCGCAUGGUUCAAAAGUGAAAGACGGUCUUGCUGUCACUUAUAGAUGGAUCCGCGCUGCAUUAGCUAGUUGGUAAGGUAACGGCUUACCAAGGCAACGAUGCAUAGCCGACCUGAGAGGGUGAUCGGCCACACUGGAACUGAGACACGGUCCAGACUCCUACGGGAGGCAGCAGUAGGGAAUCUUCCGCAAUGGGCGAAAGCCUGACGGAGCAACGCCGCGUGAGUGAUGAAGGUCUUCGGAUCGUAAAACUCUGUUAUUAGGGAAGAACAUAUGUGUAAGUAACUGUGCACAUCUUGACGGUACCUAAGCAGAAAGCCACGGCUAACUACGU
rnacentral:rRNA from 1 species